rnacentral:rRNA from 1 species
UACGUAGGGUGCGAGCGUUGUCCGGAAUUACUGGGCGUAAAGAGCUCGUAGGUGGUUUGUCGCGUUGUUCGUGAAAACUCACAGCUCAACUGUGGGCGUGCGGGCGAUACGGGCAGACUGGAGUACUGCAGGGGAGACUGGAAUUCCUGGUGUAGCGGUGGAAUGCGCAGAUAUCAGGAGGAACACCGGUGGCGAAGGCAGCUCGCUGGGACGGUACUGACGCUGAGGCGCGAAAGCGUGGGGAGCGAACAGG